CAAGCUCCAGACCAGGCCGUGAACGCCGUC
rnacentral:sRNA from 1 species